UACGUAGGGUGCAAGCGUUGUCCGGAAUUAUUGGGCGUAAAGAGCUCGUAGGCGGUUUGUCGCGUCUGCUGUGAAAACCCGAGGCUCAACCUCGGGCCUGCAGUGGGUACGGGCAGACUAGAGUGCGGUAGGGGAGAUUGGAAUUCCUGGUGUAGCGGUGGAAUGCGCAGAUAUCAGGAGGAACACCAAUGGCGAAUGCAGAUCUCUGGGCCGUAACUGACGCUGAGGAGCGAAAGCAUGGGGAGCGAACAGG
rnacentral:rRNA from 1 species